UGAAUCGGUGGAUUAUAACUUUGA
rnacentral:rRNA from 1 species